GUGUGUAAGUUGUUAAGGGCACACGGUGGAUGCCUUGGCAUCAGGAGCCGAUGAAGGACGUGUGAAUCUGCGAUAAGCCUCGGGGAGCCGAUAACUGGGCGUGGAUCCGAGGAUUUCCGAAUGGGGAAACCUCGCUCAUCGUUUUGGUGGGUGACCGCUGGUUGAAUGUAUAGGCCAGUUGGGGGGAACGCGGGGAAGUGAAACAUCUCAGUACCCGCAGGAAGAGAAAAUAAUAAUGAUUCUGUUAGUAGUGGCGAGCGAACGCGGAUGAGGCUAAACCUGUGGUGUGUGAUAGCGGUUAGGUGUUGCAUCAUGGGUGUUGUGGGAGUUGUUGUGGUGGUUCUAACUGGUCACCGGCGUAGUGCAUGAU
rnacentral:rRNA from 1 species